GGGCUCACACAAGCGGUGGAGCAUGUUGUUUAAUUCGAGGCUACGCGAAGAACCUUACCUGGGUUUGAAGCGAUAGGUAUAAGCGCGUCGAAAGAUGUGUGAUUGCCCUUCGGGGUGUAACCUAUCACAGGUGCUGCAUGGCUGUCGUCAGCUCGUGUCGUGAGAUGUCGGGUUAAGUCCCAUAACGAGCGAAACCCUUGUCCUUAGUUGCUAGCGGGUAAAGCCGAGGACUCUAAGGAGACUGCCGGUGUUAAACCGUGAGGAAGGUGGGGACGACGUCAAGUCAUCAUGGCCUUUACGUCCAGGGCUACAAACGUGCUACAAUGGCCGGCACAAAGGGAAGCAAGACCGCGAGGUGGAGCAAAUCUCAAAAAUCCGGCCCCAGUUCGGAUUGGAGGCUGCAAUUCGCCUCCAUGAAGUUGGAAUCGCUAGUAAUCGCGUGUCAGCUACAACGCGGUGAAUGUGUUCCUGAGCCUU
rnacentral:rRNA from 1 species